rnacentral:rRNA from 1 species
AGCGAACGCUGGCGGCAGGCCUAACACAUGCAAGUCGAACGAACCUUUCGGGGUUAGUGGCGGACGGGUGAGUAACACGUGGGAACGUGCCUUUAGGUUCGGAAUAACUCAGGGAAACUUGUGCUAAUACCGAAUGUGCCCUUCGGGGGAAAGAUUUAUCGCCUUUAGAGCGGCCCGCGUCUGAUUAGCUAGUUGGUUGAGGUAAUGGCUCACCAAGGCGACGAUCAGUAGCUGGUCUGAGAGGAUGAUCAGCCACAUUGGGACUGAGACACGGCCCAAACUCCUACGGGAGGCAGCAGUGGGGAAUCUUGCGCAAUGGGCGAAAGCCUGACGCAGCCAUGCCGCGUGAAUGAUGAAGGUCUUAGGAUUGUAAAAUUCUUUCCCCGGGGACGAUAAUGACGGUACCCGGAGAAGAAGCCCCGGCUAACUUCGU